GAAAAAGAAAAAAGAAAAUAGAGAGAGAAAAAAGGUUCUCGGCAGAAUGGGAAGUAACAGCCACUUCCGAUCUGGUCACGAGAAGUCCGAUUCCGGUGGAGUUUUCUUCACAAACACUUCACAGAACCUAUAGGAAGCAUCCUGGCCCUCGAAUCGUCCAAAACCGUCAUGGAACGGAGGAAAUCUGUAGGUAUGUUAAUCUAGGGUGGUUUGCGAUCAUAAUCCAUGAAGUAAGUCUUGAUCGAUUCAGAUCAGAAAUAGGAGUUCCGGCUUUCACCAAAAGAUAGAUGAGAGGAAGAAGAUGAACGGCAGAGGGACGCAUGUAAGGAAAGGAGAGGGCCGCGCGUUGCCGAAAAGAUGGGACACGCGUCCGGCGUGGAAUGGCGGAGGAAAAUCACAAAAAUAAAUACUGCGUCAAGUAAGGUUUGAAGAUCGGCGCCUGCUACCAGAUCCGUGAACCCGCGUGCGACCUAACCCAUCAACCAACCCGUCCCUGCGUUUGCCACGCGUCAGCGUGGGAAAAAUCGUAGGAACCCGCAUGCAUCCGAUUCGAACGCACACCCUAGCUCUUAGUGGGCCAGUCAGCACUCGCCACGUGGCAGAAACUAGCGCGAUUCCAUCCCCUUAGUGCGUCCGUAUGCAUGCGUGUCUGUGCGCGUGGGAAAUCCCUCCGACACGUGUGUCGUGUGAACCAGCGCAUGAGACUCUAUUUUUAUUUCGAUUUGACUUCUGUUCGAUUAUUUUUCAUCCCGAUUUUGGUACUGAUCUAAGUCUAACUUGAUAUAGGACCUAUCAGCAAACUUUCAAGAGUUUUGAGCUCUUAAUUAGCCGAAAAGUAAGGUUCGAAUGGCACGCUUCAUUUCGAUACCGAUCGAGGUGGGGAAGUGUUCAAGAGCUGCACUGUCACAGAGGAGUGUCGUUCCGGAGCGUCAGUCCCCUGUCUAUCUUUUAGAGUCUUUUGCAUUUUUCUUUCAUAAUUGUAUUUCCCGUUUGUAAUAUUUGACUUUAAUUUUGGCGUCGUUGACUACUUAUUCUUGAUUUAAAUAUUAUCAGAUAUUCAUCUCCUAUUUUAUCUUC